GCUGUCAAGUUUGUCUUGACUCUGAGUAACGUAGGGAUGGUCUAUCGUAAAAGAGGGAUGCUUUAGGGAGACGGCUCACAUGAGCUUUAGGUAAAUGUUUGGACUUGGCCGGUGGCUUUCCAUCAGUCAGAUGUGGAGCAAGGAGGUGCAGGGAGUAAUUAAUGAGCCACCGUUGGCACUCAAAGCGCAGCCUCAUUAAAUGCUGUGUGCGUUGGGCUUCCUGUUGAAAUAACAGGAGCGAGCUGGUCAGAGCCGUGCUUCUCACAUGGCACGUGGGAAGCUGCUGGGGAGGUGUCAUCGCUGCUCAGAACAGCAAUGCAAAACAAAACCCAGCUCCGAGGGUAGAAAGCAGUAGGCUGCUGGAAGAGAUGCUAACAUGGGUGGUGUGCUGUUACAACAAGAAUUCCAGAACCACAUCGCUCUGCCAUGAAUGAAUAUUGACUCGUGAACAGCCCCAGGGAGAUAUUUGGUAUGCUGGCUUGUUCUGACCAUGAGGAAUGAGCUCCUACACAAGGUUCCUGUCUUCUCUGCCUAUCCAACAGCUGACCCACAACACCUGGCAGAGCAGAAAGCAGUACAAAGCCGACAUAUUGCAGUACCUGCAUCCUCCAGACAAAGGUGUGGGGUAAAAGAGAGCUGGGAGGAUAGGGUAGCUGGAUGAAAGGUAGGAGGAGAAGGGAAAACAGGGUUGGGAUUCUGUGAAGUUGUGCAGGAACAUGGGAGAUCAAGGUCAUAGCACUAGGGUGAAGGUCCUGGCUUAAAACUGAUAUAGGUGUUAAAGUAUACGUAAAGGACAUUGAUUUUAGCAUUGAGUUUUGACAGUUCCUUUGGGCAUGACACAAUUCAUUUUCUCUUUGAAGAAAUUUCUAGGGCUAAAUCUUUCAUUUUUUCUUGAGCUAUUGGAUCUCUUCAC
ensembl:lncRNA